GUCUACAGCCAUACUACCCUGAACACGCCCAAUCUCGUCUGAUCUCGGAAGCUGAGCAAGGUCAGGCCUGGUUCGUACUUUGAUGGGAGAUAGUCAAGAGAUAGUAUUUA